AAUGAACGCUGGCGGCGUGCCUAACACAUGCAAGUUGAGCGGUAAGGCCCCUUCGGGGGUACACGAGCAGCGAACGGGUGAGUAUCGCGUGGGUAAUCUACCUCGAGGUGGGGGAUAGCCCCGGGAAACCGGGGGUAAUACCGCAUGAGUCCUCGAUGACACAAGUCGACGAGGGGAAAGGCGGGGAUCCUUCGGGACCUGUCGCCUUGGGAUGAGCCCGCGUCCGAUUAGCUUGUUGGUGGGGUAAUGGCCCACCAAGGCAACGAUCGGUAGCCGGCCUGAGAGGGUGAACGGCCACAUUGGGACUGAGACACGGCCCAGACUCCUACGGGAGGCAGCAGUGGGGAAUUUUGGGCAAUGGGGGAAACCCUGACCCAGCGACGCCGCGUGGAGGAUGACGGCCCUCGGGUUGUAAACUCCUGUCAGGUGGGAAGAAAAGCCUGUCGGUUAAUACCCGACAGGAAUUGACGGUACCACCAAAGGAAGCCCCGGCUAACUCCGUG
rnacentral:rRNA from 1 species